GGAUUAGAUACCCUGGUAGUCCACACCGUAAACGCUGUCUACUAGCUGUGUGUGAUUUUAAAUCGUGCGUAGCGAAGCUAACGCGCUAAGUAGACCGCCUGGGGAGUACGGCCGCAAGGUUAAAACUCAAAUGAAUUGACGGGGGCCCGCACAAGCGGUGGAGCAUGUGGUUUAAUUCGAUGCAACGCGAAGAACCUUACCUACACUUGACAUGCAGAGAACUUUCCAGAGAUGGAUUGGUGCCUUCGGGAACUCUGACACAGGUGCUGCAUGGCUGUCGUCAGCGUGUCGCU
rnacentral:rRNA from 1 species